UAUUUCAGUGUUAUUGGAUCGUGGCUUUGCAGCUGGAUACCAUGUACGGUUCUCUCGCGUAUUCGCCCUUUCAUUAUUUUUCUCUUUCCUGCCAGCAGUCCAGUGAUAUAAAUGUCUUUGGUUGGAUGAGCCGAUGUCGUUUUUCGAUACUUGACAUAUUUUCUUAUUACAUUUUAUUGAGUAUUGUUUAUGUUUAUGACAGCAGAGACACAAUUUUUCUAUCUACCAUUAUUCCUUCCUAUACAUAUGUAUGUAUAGGUACAUGUUUUUCUUCACAGUUUAAAUGAACUCUGUCUCUGUAUGAUGAAUUUAAUGUACACGCAUCAAGAUGGCAAAGGAUAAGGGUGCCAAGUAGCCAUGGACAUUUCAGCACAGAGCAAUUCGUCUUGAGUACUCUUUAUCAGAAUUAGUCCAAAUGGCCUAUAUUUAAAAAAAAAAAUAACUUCCGUCGCUCAGCAACACUACAAGGAACGCGAGCGUGCAGUAUGUACCGGCGCUUAAAAGCUAUUACGCUAAUUGCGAAUGUAAUGCUAUUUUGCCGCUGCGUUUUGCCCGAGUGCCGUAGUCUCUUCAAGAUAACAGACUCGGCCAAGGUGCAACAGUUUUUUUUUAAAACAACGAGUAUUAAUGGCUCGCACUGAAAAGAUAAACCCUUGCGCACCAAGUGUACGUACAUACAUAGGUAGGAGGCAUGCCAACGAUUUUAUCACAUUUAAUAAAAAGUGAAGAAGAGCAGUGGAUUAAUUAAUGCAGUGGGCAUGGGUAUCAAGUGAGUUGGAUGAUGGGAGGUUUGAGAGAGAAAAAAUUAUGACAUGGACUCACUUCAACGUUGUAAUGACUUCAGUGUUGCACCUUUUAUUGCUUCAAGGAAUUAACUGGGUAUGCAUAUACUGGACUUCCUCGUGAGAUCUUGAGGAUUUAUGCCGCUGGAUCUUGGUCAGGAUGCUGAACUGGCAUAAUCGUUUUUCAUUUUUAAUUAGUUCUGUCACAUCAAUUCGCUAAAUAAUUUCCCACAAUGAAGCGGUACCUCGCUUCUCGUACGGAAGGAGUAUUAACUUGUUCUGUCAAUUAAUAAGAAGGAGCCAGGAACAGCUGCGUGGAUGGAGCUCGUGCCCGCUUUAUCUUACAGGCAUCCUGGCUACGUAGCUUCAUUCGCAUGUUGACUCGGCAUUGCGUUCCACUUCCAUGAGCCUGAAU